AAAGAUAAGCUAAGUUAAGNUAA
rnacentral:tRNA from 1 species